GGAUCCAGACUUUGAUUAUGGCUCAGGACGAACGCUGGCGGCGCGCCUAACACAUGCAAGUCGAGCGGGAAGCUUUUUAAGGAUUCUUCGGAUGAAAUAAAAAGUGGAGAGCGGCGGACGGGUGAGUAACGCGUGAGAAACCUGCCCUAUACAGGGGGAUAGCCAUUGGAAACGAUGAUUAAUACCCCAUAUGACCACAGUAUCGCAUGAUACAGCGGUGAAAACUCCGGUGGUAUAGGAUGGUCUCGCGUCUGAUUAGCUAGUUGGUGGGGUAACGGCCUACCAAGGCGACGAUCAGUAGCCGGCCUGAGAGGGUGACCGGCCACACUGGAACUGAGACACGGUCCAGACUCCUACGGGAGGCAGCAGUGGGGAAUAUUGCACAAUGGGCGAAAGCCUGAUGCAGCGACGCCGCGUGAACGAUGAAGGCUUUCGAGUCGUAAAGUUCUGUUCUUGGGGAAGAUAACGACGGUACCCAAGGAGAAAGCACCGGCUAAAUACGUGCCAGCAGCCGCGGUAAU
rnacentral:rRNA from 1 species